rnacentral:rRNA from 1 species
GACGAACGCUGGCGGCGUGCUUAACACAUGCAAGUCGAACGAUGAAGCACCUUCGGGUGUGGAUUAGUGGCGAACGGGUGAGGAACACGUGAGAAAUCUGCCUUCAACUCUGGGAUAACUCCGGGAAACCGGGGCUAAUACCGGAUAUGAGCCUUGAUCGCAUGAUCGGGGCUGGAAAGUUUUUCGGUUGAAGAUGAUCUCGCGGACUAUCCGCUUGUUGGUGGGGUAACGGCUCAGCAAGGCUACGACGGGUAUCCGGCCUGAGAGGGCGACCGGACACACUGGGACUGAGACACGGCCCAGACUCCUACGGGAGGCAGCAGUGGGGAAUAUUGGGCAAUGGGCGAAAGCCUGACCCAGCGACGCCGCGUGAGGGAUGAAGGCCUUCGGGUUGUAAACCUCUUUCAGCAGGGAAGAAGCGAAAGUGACGGUACCUGCAGAAGAAGCACCGGCUAACUAUGUGCCAGCAGCCGCAGUAA